GCUUAGUUAAACUCAAGGGAAGAUCAAUCUUUUUUUUUUUUUAGAGGAUUUGAUGGUUCAGAUUAUUAGAAUAUGUUUUGGGUUUGGAAGCUUUUGGUGUAUGUUUUAUGCUCAGCAGCAAAAAUAGCCCUAGCUUGCUGUUAUAUGCAUGCUAUAUAUUCCAUCAUUUCUUGUGUCAAGAGGAUUGGGUUUAUGGAAGUUUUUCUCGAAAACAAUCAUUGCUGGCAGAAGCAACUAGUUAGGGCAUUACCCAUGGAUGCCUUAGGGAAAGGCACUUUGGUCACAAACUCCAUCAAUUGCCAAGAAUCAUUUGCUG
rnacentral:misc_RNA from 1 species